GAUCAUGGCUCAGGAUGAACGCUGGCGGCGUGCUUAACACAUGCAAGUCGAACGAAGCACCUUGAUUUGAUUCUUCGGAUGAAGAUCUUGGUGACUGAGUGGCGGACGGGUGAGUAACGCGUGGGUAACCUGCCUCAUACAGGGGGAUAACAGUUAGAAAUGACUGCUAAUACCGCAUAAGACCACAGCACCGCAUGGUGCAGGGGUAAAAACUACCGGU
rnacentral:rRNA from 1 species